UCCGCAGGUGGUUUAAAAAGUCACUGGUCAAAUCCUGAUGCUCAACAUCAGAACUGCCAGUGAAACUCUUAAGCUUGAGGACGGGAGAGGCAAGCGGAAUUGCCGGUGUAGCGGUAAAAUGCGUUAAUAUCGGCAAGAACACCAAAUGCGAAGGCAGCUUGCUGGAACGUUCCUGACACUCAGUGGACGAAAGCGUGGGUAGCGAAAG
rnacentral:rRNA from 1 species